AUGGAUAGGAAAAAACAAGCAGGGUUUCCUUGUAAAGUUGUGAUUGAAUGUGAACUGUUCAAGGAGUUCAUUCCAGCUGCCAGCGGGGACACUGUACUGACCCAGACUCUAGCCCUCCUCUCUGUGUCUCUAAGAGAGAGUGCCUCCAUCAUCUGCAGGGCCAAUCAGAGCUUUAGUGACUACUUAAGCUGGUAUCAGAAGAAACCAGGCCAGCCUCCUCAGCUUCUCAUCUACAAUGUGGACGACCAAUAUUCUGGAAUCCCAGACCGGUUCACUGGGAUACAGUCUGGGACAGAAUUCAUUCUCACAAUCGACAAUGUCGAGGCUGAUGAUGCUGCUGAUUAUUAUUGCCUGCAGGUCUAUAACUUUCCUCACACAGUGUUACAACCCCGAGCAUAA